UACGGAGGGUGCAAGCGUUAUCCGGAUUCACUGGGUUUAAAGGGUGCGUAGGUGGGUCUGUAAGUCAGUGGUGAAAUCUCCGGGCUUAACCCGGAAACUGCCAUUGAUACUAUAGGUCUUGAAUUUUCUGGAGGUCAGCGGAAUAUGUCAUGUAGCGGUGAAAUGCUUAGAUAUGACAUAGAACACCGAUUGCGAAGGCAGCUGACUACAGGAACAUUGACACUGAGGCACGAAAGCGUGGGGAUCAAACAGG
rnacentral:rRNA from 1 species